AGCAGCCGCGGUAAUUCCAGCUCCAAUAGCGUAUAUUAAAGUUGUUGCAGUUAAAAAGCUCGUAGUUGAAUUUCGGGGUUAGUAGGUUGGUCAUGCCUCUGGUAUGUACUGGUCUCACUGAUUCCUCCUUCCUGAUGAGCCGUAAUGCCAUUAAUUUGGUGUUGCGGGGAAUUUGGACUGUUACUUUGAAAAAAUUAGAGUGUUUAAAGCAAGCUAACGCUUGAAUACAUUAGCAUGGAAUAAUGAAAUAGGACGUUCGAUCCUAUUUUGUUGGUUUCUAGGAUUGACGUAAUGAUUAAUAGGGAUAGUUGGGGGCAUUAGUAUUCAAUUGUCAGAGGUGAAAUUCUUGGAUUUAUUGAAGACUAACUACUGCGAAAGCAUUUGCCAAGGAUGUUUUCAUUAAUCAAGAACGAAAGUUAGGGGAUCGAAGACGAUCAGAUACCGUCGUAGUCUUAACCAUAAACUAUGCCGACUAGGGAUCGGAUGAUGUUAAUUUUAAUGA
rnacentral:rRNA from 1 species